UGGUGGAGUGAUUUGUCUGGUUAAUUCCGUUAACGAACGAGACCUCGACCUGCUAAAUAGUUCGGCGAAGGCUUCGGCCUUCGACUGUGACUUCUUAGAGGGACUAUCGGUGUGUAGCCGAUGGAAGUUCGAGGCAAUAACA
rnacentral:rRNA from 1 species